rnacentral:rRNA from 1 species
AUUGAACGCUGGCGGCAGGCCUAACACAUGCAAGUCGAGCGGAUGAAGGGAGCUUGCUCCUGGCUUCAGCGGCGGACGGGUGAGUAAUGCCUAGGAAUCUGCCUGGUCGAGGGGGAUAACGUCCGGACACGGGCGCUAAUACCGCAUACGUCCUGAGGGUGAAAGUGGGGGAUCUUCGGACCUCACGCUAUUUGAUGUGCCUAGGCCGGAUUAGCUAGUUGGUGGGGUAAGGGCCUACCAAGGCGACGAUCCGUAACUGACCUGAGAGGAUGAUCAGUCACACUGGAACUGAGACACGGUCCAGACUCCUACGGGAGGCAGCAGUAGGGAAUAUUGGACAAUGGGCGAAAGCCUGAUCCAGCAAUGCCGCGUGUGUGAAGAAGGUCUUCGGAUUGUAAAGCACUUUAAGUAGGGAGGAAGGGCAGUGAGUUAAUACCUUGCUGUUUUGACGUUACCAACAGAAUAAGCACCGGCUAACUUCGUG